GAGUGGCGGACGGGUGAGUAAUGUCUGGGAAACUGCCUGAUGGAGGGGGAUAACUACUGGAAACGGUAGCUAAUACCGCAUAACGUCGCAAGACCAAAGAGGGGGACCUUCGGGCCUCUUGCCAUCGGAUGUGCCCAGAUGGGAUUAGCUAGUAGGUGGGGUAACGGCUCACCUAGGCGACGAUCCCUAGCUGGUCUGAGAGGAUGACCAGCCACACUGGAACUGAGACACGGUCCAGACUCCUACGGGAGGCAGCAGUGGGGAAUAUUGCACAAUGGGCGCAAGCCUGAUGCAGCAACGCCGCGUGAGCGAUGAAGGCCUUCGGGUCGUAAAGCUCUGUCCUCAAGGAAGAUAAUGACGGUACUUGAGGAGGAAGCCCCGGCUAACUACGUGCCAGCAGCCGCGGUAAUACGUAGGGGGCUAGCGUUAUCCGGAUUUACUGGGCGUAAAGGGUGCGUAGGCGGUCUUUCAAGUCAGGAGUUAAAGGCUACGGCUCAACCGUAGUAAGCUCCUGAUACUGUCUGACUUGAGUGCAGGAGAGGAAAGCGGAAUUCCCAGUGUAGCGGUGAAAUGCGUAGAUAUUGGGAGGAACACCAGUAGCGAAGGCGGCUUUCUGGACUGUAACUGACGCUGAGGCACGAAAGCGUGGGGAGCAAACAGGAUUAGAUACCCUGGUAGUCCACGCUGUAAACGAUGAGUACUAGGUGUCGGAGGUUACCCCCUUCGGAGCCGCAGCUAACGCAUUAAGUACUCCGCCUGGGGAGUACGCACGCAAGUGGGACAAUCAAAGGAAUUGACGGGGACCCGCACAAGUAGCGGAGCAUGUGGUUUAAUUCGAAGCAACGCGAAGAACCUUACCUAGGCUUAACAUCCUUCUGCCCGAGGACUAAUCUCCUCUUUCCCUCCGGGGACAGAAGUGACAGGUGGUGCAUGGUUGUCGUCAGCUCGUGUCGUGAGAUGUAGGGUUAAGUCCCGCAACGAGCGCAACCCUUGUCUUUAGUUGCCAUCAUUAAGUUGGGCACUCUAGAGAGACUGCCAGGGAUAACCUGGAGGAAGGUGGGGAUGACGUCAAAUCAUCAUGCCCCUUAUGCCUAGGGCUACACACGUGCUACAAUGGGUGGUACAGAGGGCAGCCAAGCCGUGAGGUGGAGCAAAUCCCUUAAGGCCAUUCUCAGUUCGGAUUGUAGGCUGAAACUCGCCUACAUGAAGCUGGAGUUACUAGUAAUCGCAGAUCAGAAUGCUGCGGUGAAUCCGAAGGGGGGUCUUGCACACACCGCCCGUCA
rnacentral:rRNA from 1 species